CAUAAUGCAUCCUCAGGACUCUGUGACAUCAGGGCUGAGAGACCCGUUGCCCAGCCAUGCACACUGAGCUCAGGGAGGUCAGGUCAGCGUCCAGCAGGAAGGCAGAAAUGCCAAGAUCCAAGCCAAGGUCCCUUUUAUCCUGAGUCCCGUGCUCUUCACUGCUGGCUUCGGAGGCUGCGGCCCUGCCACCCUCACGGAGAAGUCACCGUGCUCUCAAACUCUGCAGCGUGGUCGAUUUCUCCGUCUCGCCUUCAUCCUCGUCACCUUUAUUCUCUGUCCUUGGGCAUAAGCACCCCGUUCAUGGACUGAAGCAGUAGGGGAGGUCGGUGCUGAGACACCUCCUUCCUGCCCGGCCUGGCCCCCACCCUGCACCCUCGUCCACCCCAACCUCCUCGUGCCUUCGGUCUCCCUUCUCUGUGCAAACUCAAGACCAAAGACAUGCAUGUUCUUACUUCCUACCUUCUUACCCCAGAAUUGGCACACCAAAUGCACCAUGCUUUUUGCACUUACUCUGUUUUCCCCUAGCCAAGUGCCCAGGGAAUACUUGGCUUUUAGCUCAAGGGAGCGUCCUCUUCCCCCUUGCAGAGACAGGCCCUGGUAAGUCAUCGGGUGGCCUAGCCUGGCCCUUGGGUUCAGCCACUUGCUGGUUUGCACGUGUUUUGGAAUCACAGACGAUCCUGCGGGGAGCCACCUGGUCAGAGGUCAGUGCCCCCGCAUCAGGGGUAGCCCUGGGAGCAGAUCACGGAGUCGGGGAAAGGCCGUUGGACGUCUUGCUGGCUGUGCCCCUCACAGGCAGAUGGGCACAUCCACCGAGAAAGGACAACAGCCUGGGCACCCUGGCCCCGCAACGCCAGAGAGCUCAGUCAGACGCCCGCCGUCCUCCCAGCUGGCCGAUGAGCGCCUGGACCCUGCUGCACUCCUACCGCAGGGGUCUCUGACUGUCGGGCUUGCACGUGUUUUGAACCAUGUGUAUUUCUUGUUCUGUGACCUGCCUGUGACCUCGGCCUGCUUUUCUGUUGGUCUUGUGGUCUUUCUUGCUUUCAUCUCCGAGAGCUCUUUGUGUAUUUUGGAGAAAAACACUUCUCUGUGUCGUGAGGUGCCAUUCUUUUCCCCAGGUUUUGCCCUCUGUGCUUUCCCUUCUGUGUUGCGCUUUGGUUUGCUUUUCUGUAUGGAAGUGGCUGUUGCUCACAUUUGCAGUUUUUUAAAACUGUGGGCCAUUUUCAAAGUCCCUAUUGAAUCUGUUACAAUAUUGCUUCUGUUUCUUGGCUCUUUGGCUGGGAGGAUCAUGGGGUCUUAGCUCCCAGACUGGGGAUUGAACGGGCACCUUCAGCAUUAGAAGGCGAAGCCUUAACCACUGGACCACCCUGGAGUCCCUAUGCUUGCAAUUAUUCAUCUCUGUGUUUUGAGACAUAGUUCCAUAUGUCUGUCAAUUCCAAGGUUAUUCUAUUCAGAGUCCCAACAGGAAUUACAGGGGACACACACAAAGUCUGGUGACUCAAGUAGGGGUUACAUACAAAGGGACUAGUGACAGGGCCUGGGCAAGUUUUGGGGGGGGGCCAGGGGCAGGGCGAGAACGGGGGCCCCGAAGCAGCAGAGAGGCCGUCACCCUGGGUCCCCAGGGAGGCAGGAGUCAUGCAGCCUGGAGGGCGGGAGCCGUGUAGACCAGGCUGCCCGAGAGGGGCCCCCGUCUGGCGGGACCAGGAGCGAGCACCCCACCCUCACGUUCCUCGCGCCGCCCUGUCUGGCCAUAGCUCCAUGCUGGGAGAAGCCUGCCUCGGGUGGUGUCCCCGUGGGCAGCAGCCCAGGGCCCAGAAUGAGGCAGCGAGGGGCCUGAACUCUGUGUGGUGGACGCGGGGGGCAUAGAUCAGGCCCAUUUCCAGACCCUCUGGCAGCACUUGCAGGGGCUUAUUUUCCCAUUGACAGCUUUGCCAUGGGGUCUCUCUGGAUGGACUCUGGGUGGUCACCGCUUCCCUUCCCCCAACAACUAGCCACUGUUCCCUAUGCUGUUUACCACAAGAUCCCCUUUUGCCCCCAUUUGUCAUAUAUUAAUGUCCCAUGGGCACGCGGGGCUAUUUCUGGGCUUUCUCUGCUGUUCCAGUGGGCCGUGUGCCUAUUCAUAUUCUGUAUUAAUCACCGAGGCCUUGGGAAGGUUUUAAGACCGGGGAGACAGAUGCCUCUGUGUUUGUCUCUCCUGCUUUAGAGUCUUGCUGGACUGUGCUUACUUGUUUAUUUUGAGUGAAUCUGCUUGUCUGUUUGUGAAGGAAGGAAACUCUUUAGGUCAUUUGGGGAGAUUAUAUUAAACCUAUGCACUUAUUCAUAGACGACCCACAUCUUUAGCACGUAGCGAUCUGGGGCUUCCCUGGCAGUCUAGGGGCUGGGGCUCUGUGUUUUCACCGCCAAGGGCACGGGUUCCCUGCCUGGUCAGGGAACCAAGAACCCACAAGCCAUGCGGUGUGGCCAAAAAAAAAAAAAAAAAGAUUUUUAAAGAAACAAGUUUGUUCCUGGGUUUUGUCACUGAGAACAAACAAGCAAAGAAAGACACCUGGCAGACGCUACCUGGCCAGGUGAGGAAAGCCUUUGCUGGCAGUGAUAGGUCGGACCGACAGCCUAGGGGAUACACAGAGACCACAUCUCUCAGGCGCUGCUCCCGCCAAAAUGCAAAUCCCACAUCUCAUCCCGUGAGAGGGCAUGUCUGCAAAGUCAAACUGAGAGCAUCCCCAAGAGAGGGGCCUGUCCUCUUCACCAAUGCCAGGGUCGUCAACUCUCCGUCAACAGCACUGAAGAUGCUCAGUGUCCUUACGGACAAAGAAGGGACGGCCACCUUCUCCAGAUGAAGAGAGACGACGAGGACCUUUAACCCACGGCACCGUGCCGCCCUGUGUGGGUCCGGGAAAGGGGACCACUGAGGGUGGAGUCCGCACGGUGGGUUAGAUCACAGUAUUGCUUCAAGGUCAAAUCACCUGACCUGAUCAUCGUACUGUCGGUGUGUCAGGGAACACUCCUGUUCUUGCAAAACACACGAUGGAACAUUUAGGGGAAAAGAACGUCCUGCUACUGACCCUAAAAUUGUUCACACAUACAAAAAAUAGAAGUAUGCAUAUAACUGUCGGGAGGAGUUGUAAAGUAAAUGUGGUCAUUGUUAACAAUGGAGAACUGGGUAAAGAAUAUGUGGGAAUUCUUGGUACUGUUCUUGCAGCUCGAUGCUGGCGCGGCUCCUGGAACGUGGUCCUCAGGCUCCUCCCCACGGCAUCCUCGCAACAGUGGGUGCUGCUUGGGUGGGGCUCGUGAGGUGCCAGCCGGCCACCAGCCUCUGGCCACAGUAAAACUGGGAGAAACAGCAGCAGCCUUGGGGACUGGAUAACUCCUGGCCUUACAGAGCACGGCCCAGGGCUCCAGGGAGCUGGAGUCCUCGGCAGAGGUUCUGGGGAGUUUGUACACAGACAGCGCUGCUCUGGGAAGGACACAGAAAUACAUCCUGUGGGCGCAGAGGAAGGCUCAGGUCAGGGACAGAAGGAAACGGGGCUCGGGAAACGGAUGCUGUUCCUCAGUCGGUCCCAGAGGCGCUGAGGUGGGAACCGGUAGGAACAGCAGGGAGCUUUCGGGGGAGGUGGGGGAGGCCGUGUGCACGGGGGGUGCGCCCGAGGUGGGGCGGGGGCCCAUCCGGGCCGGAGUCCCGGUGAGUGGGGUCCAGCGUUGCUGACUGCUCGGUGCUGUGCUCCGAAGGCAACUGGAGUGUGUGCGUGCAUCUGUGCUCUGUGUGUGUGUGUGUGUGUGACAGAGACCACCAGCAGUUGGGAAUGGGGCCCAUCUGGGUUCCUGCUGGUGCCAGGACUAGACCCGAGUUCCACGAGGUCAUUAUCCCCAGCUCUUGGCUUUCCACCGGCAGAUUCUGCGGUCCAAGGAUGGGAUCUUUGAGUAGCCGGAGAAUGUGACUUUAGAUCAGAGGGCGUAAAAUACACUCCAGAGAAAAAGAAGGGACUCAUCUUCCCAUUCUUUACACGGUCAGCCCAACUGCAGGCUGCUGUGCCCUCUCCCCCUCAGCUUUGUCUGGAAAUAACCUCCCAGAGUCAGGCUGCUGGGUGUGAAAGAGAAACAAAAGAUGUAGUCCUUGAAAACUGGACACCCUGCACCUCCUGUGGUGCAGGAUUCCAGAGGGCUUAUCAGCUCCAGCUUGGUUGUAUGUUAUCUGGUACAACCCUGUGCAAUUAGAAACAAAAUAAUCCAAUUUAGCCAACAUUAAGCAGCAGCUAUGUAGUGGGCAUGCCGCUAUCUGCCAGGACUUUCAAUAUAACCAGGUCUCUGGUUUAUUCAUACACUUCUGAUGGUGCUGGUGGUUGUCAGGGAGGAAGUUAGUAUCAGAAUUGCUUAAGGAACAACCUUGUAAGUAGUCACCAGGGUCUUUAAAAGAAUAGGAAUCUUUACAUUGAACAUUGACUUAUUUUAUAAAAGGAUAAAAAUAAAGUGUCUCUAUUUUUAUACUUUAUACUCUUGAGACAAGUGUCUCUUUACCACAAAAGUGAUUAUUCCUCUUAGUGUAAGAGACUACAGAAAAAUGAGUUAUUAUUAUUUAGUCACUCAGUCGCGUCUGACUCUGUGCGACCCCAUGGACUGUAGCCCACCAGGCUCCUCUGUGCAUGGGAUUCUCCAGGCAAGAACACUGGAGUGGGCUGCCAUGCCCUCCUCCAGGGCAUCUUCCCCACCCGGGCACUGAACACGCGUCUCCUGCACUGGCAGACGGAUUCUUUACCACCUGGGAAGCCCUACAGAGAAGCGAGUGGGCUGGGAUUUUACACACGCACAUAAGCGUACACUCACCCCCACGUCGAUACUGCCCGUCUCCACUUGAGAACAGAUCAGCUGUCUCUUCCGAGUGAAGACGAGGAUAUCGGGGUCCUCGUGCCGCUUCCAUUUCCUCCCUGCUUCCUCUUCACCUUGUUGUGGUUCUACUGCUGCUUGAAUGGAGUUUCCCCCAAGGUGUGUUCCUACCGUGGGCCCUGUGACUAUGGGCCCUCUGAGACAGGGUCUUCGCAGGUGUGAUCAGGUUAGAAAGAGGCCAUACUGGUGACAGGGAUCGCUGUCCUUACAGGGAGACGGACACUCUGACACAGACACACAGAGACUGAGGCUCAGUGGGGCGGUUAAAGCCUUGGAACACCCUGAAAGCUGGGAGAGGGCCCGGAGCAGUUCCCCCUGCGAGCUCCCAGAAGGACACCCUGAAAGCUGGGAGAGGGCCUGGAGCAGUUCCCCCUGUGAGCUCCCGGAAGGAGCCCACCCUGCCAUCACCCUGGCUGUGGGCUUCAGCUUCCAGAUCUGGGAGAGGAGACCUCUCUGCCGCACCCCGUUUGGGGUGCUUUGUUACAGCAGCCCCGGCCGACCCGUGCGGUCAUGCACUGUCCAGCUUUAUGUUAAUCACAGUCUGCUUGGUGACAGUGGUCCCUGAAGAUGUGUGGCCUGCGCUUUAUCUUUAAACAGACUCACUCUUCACUACCUGUGCCUUUGGUCACACACGCUCCCUUUCUCAGCGGUUACUUCGGCUCGGCUCAGCUUCGGACUCUUGGUGCGGUCUGGCCCUCCUCCCCACUCCCCGGC
ensembl:lncRNA